AGACGCACCUUUCCCCAAGACGCACCAAAUUUUUAGGAGAAGAAAACAGGAAAAAAUAAUUUGUUUUCUUCUCCUAAAAAUUGGUGAGCCUUAUGGAGAGGUCCAUCUUAUGUAACACACCCUAGGACCCUUUGGAGGCUUACCCUGCCCCCCGGGGGUCAGAGGGGGCGACAUCGCCAGUUUCUGGGACUCUGCUGAAGCUUCCCAAGCCUCAAAAGAGUCUGAGAAGCUGGUGAUACCCCCCUCUGGCCCAGUGGGGGGGCAGGGUGAGUCUCUAAAGGGUCCUAGGGUGUGUUCCAGGACCCUUUAGAGACUCACCCUGCCCCCCUCAGGGGUCAGAGGGGGCAAAAUCACCACCUUCUGGGACUCUUCAGAGGCUUCCCAAGCCUCAAGACCCCCAAAAACUGGCAAUUUUGCCAGUGCUGGCCCCAUGCAGGGGUGGGAGGAGCGUGCCAAGGAUCCUGGGAGGCUCCCUCGGACCCUUGCCACGCUCCCUCCCACCCCCCCACGGGGCCAGGGGGGGUAAAAACGGCAGCUGCUGGGAGUGUUUGGGGGGGCNNNNNNNNNNNNNNNNNNNNCCCCCCGCCCCCACAGGGCCAGGGGGGUAAAAUCGCCAGCUUCUGGGAGUGUUUGGAGGCUUCCCAAGCUUCCAAACGGUCUCAGAACCUGGCGAUUUCGCUGGCGCUGGCCCCUGUGCAGGGUUGGGGGUGUGUGGCAAGGGUCUUGGGAGGCUCCCUCGGACCCUUGCCACACUCCCCCCACAGGGCCAGGGGGGGUAAAAUCACCAGCUUCUGGGAGUGUUUGGAGGCUCCCCAAGCUUCCAAACACUCCCAGAACCUGGCGAUUUCGCCAGCGCUGGCCCCAUGGGGGGUGGGGUGGGAGGAGCGUCGCAAGGGUCUGAGUGAGCUUUCAAGGACCCUUGCGACGCUCCCCCCACCUGGAAGCUGGCGAUUUCACCGGCGCUGGUCCCGUGGGGGGUGGGGGAGCCUUGCAAGGGUCCUGGAAGGCUCACCCGGACCCUUGCGACACUCCCCCCCACGGGGCAAGCAGCGACGAAAUUGUGCCUUUGUUCCAUUAGACGCAUGGACUUCCUGCCCCACAUUUUGGGAGGGAAAAAGUGCGUCUUAUGGAGCAAAAAAUACGGUAAGUGAGAUAUUUAAAGCAUGAUUUUACCAGUUCCAUACCAUUCAUGAGUUUCCAGUCCUCCUGAGUUCCAGUCCAUUACUCAGUCCACUCUAUCCACUACACCAAACUGGGUAUUCCUAAAG
rnacentral:lncRNA from 1 species